rfam:Myotis brandtii contig315818, whole genome shotgun sequence.
GGCGGUUCUCAGGUGACACCCCACGGAAUUGGGCUCCCUCCUCUCUGGUUCCAGGGUGUGUCAUCUGAGAACCACC